rnacentral:rRNA from 1 species
AUUGAACGCUGGCGGCAUGCUUUACACAUGCAAGUCGAACGGUAACAGGCCUUCGGGUGCUGACGAGUGGCGAACGGGUGAGUAAUGCAUCGGAACGUACCCAGAGGUGGGGGAUAACGCAGCGAAAGCUGUGCUAAUACCGCAUGUGAUCUGAGGAUGAAAGCGGGGGACCGAGCAGCAAUGUUUGGCCUCGCGCCUUUGGAGCGGCCGAUGUCGGAUUAGCUAGUUGGUGGGGUAAAGGCCUACCAAGGCGACGAUCCGUAGCUGGUCUGAGAGGACGACCAGCCACACUGGAACUGAGACACGGCCCAGACUCCUACGGGAGGCAGCAGUGGGGAAUUUUGGACAAUGGGCGCAAGCCUGAUCCAGCAAUGCCGCGUGCGGGAAGAAGGCCUUCGGGUUGUAAACCGCUUUUGGCAGGAACGAAACGGUGUCCGCUAAUACCGGGCGCUAAUGACGGUACCUGCAGAAUAAGCGCCGGCUAACUACGUG